CCAAGACUUCAUCACAAAGCAUGCACAGUAGGUGGCGGCAUGUACUUAAAUGAUUGAUUGCGGACCGCCAUGAUAUCAUAGAAGAGUGUAACAGUGAGGAUGUCCAGGAGUCUCACCAGUUCCUGUUAGACAACCACAUUUGUCUGGACUCCUUCAGUCAGGCGCAGGGGCACGUGUGUAUUCCUGGUGAAGAACCUUCCAGCGGGAGUGAAGGUCGAGGACCUGGAGGUGCUGUUCUCAUAGCAUGGCACCCUGGGUAG
rnacentral:lncRNA from 1 species